GGCGAACAGGACACCGACGCGCAGCGGAGGUGUCCUGUUCGCCCUGUCGGGGCUUAUUUUCUCGAUAAUGACCGGCGUUCUAUACAUUAUCCCUUACGUAUUUAAUAGAGAAACCGAGCUUGUACACCAGAGAAAUUACGAGCCUAUAAGUCACUGGAUGAUGCUUAUGAAUACGUUGUCUGUGGUCAUGUACAGAACGUCAAAUACCAUGACAUGACUAGAGUUUUAUGUGGUGAAAUCAGAAUUUUGUAUUAUGUCCUCAUUCCAGUCAACACGUUUAAUCGCCUGCAGCCACAGACGCCGCCGGUUGCUCUUAAAUGGUUGUGAUCCUGUCGGAAUCCUAUACAACUUUAGUCCGCCGGUGGAAUAUCGAUUCUGACAACCAUAUACGCAACAACCAGACAUUUUGAUGCUGGAAACUUUUUUUGAUCCACUUAUAAACUCUUGCUAGUCAGUUGCUACGUCGUGUGUGAGUCAGAACGACUGGGAAACAAUACCACUUCUGUUGCCGGCAUGCGCACGCAACUAUUUGAUGACGUUGGCUGUAAAAGGGUCUAUUUGCAUUGACAAAUAAACAACUUCCCAUGAUGCAACAGUUUGUCCUUGAGCUUGACAUGCCAAAUGCUCAACAUGGGCACCACCUCGAUGCUAAAAUAUCCUCCCUACCCUCCUCAACCAUGGUGCAUAGCAAUGAGGAGCUGAGAGCAGGCCCUCAUUUGUGGCAUGCCUUCACAUGAGCGGUAGCCACCCAUCAGUGGUGAUUAAAGCCACAUUUCAGAGCUCCGUCCUGUCAGUGGGUGUAGUUGGGCUGCUACGGCUGAACCCUAUUGGACGCGAUGAAGGCCAGACACCAGGUUCUACCGCCCUACAUUCAUCCAAGACGCAGAUUCUUGCUGGUCAGUCAGAGGUGACGUGCCCCCAUGAAUCAUAUCCGCGACACACAGCGGCUCCCAGGUCCCCCGCUGUGGGCCUGCUGUGGCAUGGUCCUGACAGACAUUCAUGAAAGGCUCCAUACGGGGGAUUUAACGGCACAUUGAGUGAAGGGCCGUCUGUAUACAGAGGGCUGGGGAACCAUGAGGCAUUACCACCGGGAUCCAUCAGUGUCAUCCUCCUAAUUUGACUCUUCAACCUAAACUCGUCAUGUCAGGCUUCACAAUGGCAUUGCAGUUGUGACUAAUGCCUAUAAAUGUGUCAUAUUUAAGCACUUCAAAUAAAAAAAUCAUCAUAUUA
ensembl:lncRNA